UACGGAGGGUGCAAGCGUUAAUCGGAAUUACUGGGCGUAAAGCGUGCGCAGGUGGUUUGUUAAGUCUGUUGUGAAAUCCCCGAGCUCAACUUGGGAAUUGCAAUGGAUACUGGCAGGCUGGAGUAUGGUAGAGGAAGGUGGAAUUCCCGGUGUAGCAGUGAAAUGCGUAGAGAUCGGGAGGAACACCAGUGGCGAAGGCGGCCUUCUGGACCAAUACUGACGCUCAUGCACGAAAGCGUGGGGAGCAAACAGG
rnacentral:rRNA from 1 species